rnacentral:rRNA from 1 species
GAUGAACGCCGGCGGCGUGCCUAAUACAUGCAAGUCGAGCGAACGGACGAGAAGCUUGCUUCUCUGAUGUUAGCGGCGGACGGGUGAGCAACACGUGGAUAACCUACCUAUAAGACUGGGAUAACUUCGGGAAACCGGAGCUAAUACCGGAUAAUAUUUUGAACCGCAUGGUUCAAAAGUGAAAGACGGUCUUGCUGUCACUUAUAGAUGGAUCCGCGCUGCAUUAGCUAGUUGGUAAGGUAACGGCUUACCAAGGCAACGAUGCAUAGCCGACCUGAGAGGGUGAUCGGCCACACUGGAACUGAGACACGGUCCAGACUCCUACGGGAGGCAGCAGUAGGGAAUCUUCCGCAAUGGGCGAAAGCCUGACGGAGCAACGCCGCGUGAGUGAUGAAGGUCUUCGGAUCGUAAAACUCUGUUAUUAGGGAAGAACAUAUGUGUAAGUAACUGUGCACAUCUUGACGGUACCUAAUCAGAAAGCCACGGCUAACUACGUGCCAGCAGCCGCGGUAAUACGUAGGUGGCAAGCGUUAUCCGGAAUUAUUGGGCGUAAAGCGCGCGUAGGCGGUUUUUUAAGUCUGAUGUGAAAGCCCACGGCUCAACCGUGGAGGGUCAUUGGAAACUGGAAAACUUGAGUGCAGAAGAGGAAAGUGGAAUUCCAUGUGUAGCGGUGAAAUGCGCAGAGAUAUGGAGGAACACCAGUGGCGAAGGCGACUUUCUGGUCUGUAACUGACGCUGAUGUGCGAAAGCGUGGGGAUCAAACAGGAUUAGAUACCCUGGUAGUCCACGCCGUAAACGAUGAGUGCUAAGUGUUAGGGGGUUUCCGCCCCUUAGUGCUGCAGCUAACGCAUUAAGCACUCCGCCUGGGGAGUACGACCGCAAGGUUGAAACUCAAAGGAAUUGACGGGGACCCGCACAAGCGGUGGAGCAUGUGGUUUAAUUCGAAGCAACGCGAAGAACCUUACCAAAUCUUGACAUCCUUUGACAACUCUAGAGAUAGAGCUUUCCCCUUCGGGGGACAAAGUGACAGGUGGUGCAUGGUUGUCGUCAGCUCGUGUCGUGAGAUGUUGGGUUAAGUCCCGCAACGAGCGCAACCCUUAAGCUUAGUUGCCAUCAUUAAGUUGGGCACUCUAAGUUGACUGCCGGUGACAAACCGGAGGAAGGUGGGGAUGACGUCAAAUCAUCAUGCCCCUUAUGAUUUGGGCUACACACGUGCUACAAUGGACAAUACAAAGGGCAGCGAAACCGCGAGGUCAAGCAAAUCCCAUAAAGUUGUUCUCAGUUCGGAUUGUAGUCUGCAACUCGACUACAUGAAGCUGGAAUCGCUAGUAAUCGUAGAUCAGCAUGCUACGGUGAAUACGUUCCCGGGUCU